GGGCGUAUGGUCUAGAGGUAUGAUACCUGCUUUGGGGUCUUAUGGAAUCCUUUGCAGGGGGUCUUCGGUUCGAAUCCGGAUUCGCCCC